rnacentral:rRNA from 1 species
GACGAACGCUGGCGGCGUGCUUAACACAUGCAAGUCGAACGCUGAAGCUCAGCUUUUGUUGGGUGGAUGAGUGGCGAACGGGUGAGUAACACGUGAGUAACCUGCCUCCUUCUUUGGGAUGACGCCCGGAAACGGGUGCUAAUACUGGAUAUUCACUGGUCUUCGCAUGGGGGUUGGUGGAAAGGGUUUUUCUGGUGGGGGAUGGGCUCGCGGCCUAUCAGCUUGUUGGUGGGGUGAUGGCCUACCAAGGCUUUGACGGGUAGCCGGCCUGAGAGGGUGACCGGUCACAUUGGGACUGAGAUACGGCCCAGACUCCUACGGGAGGCAGCAGUGGGGAAUAUUGCACAAUGGGCGCAAGCCUUAUGCAGCGACGCCGCGUGAGGGAUGGAGGCCUUCGGGUUGUGAACCUCUUUCGCUCAUGGUCAAGCCGCAACAAUGGUUGUGGUGAGGGUAGUGGGUAAAGAAGCGCCGGCUAACUACGUG